GGCUAGGUGGUGCAGUGAUUAGCACUGUUGCCUCGCAAUUGACAGAUUCCAGGUUUGAUCGCUAGCUGGCCA